UACAGAGGGGGCAAGCGUUGUUCGGAAUUACUGGGCGUAAAGGCGCGUAGGCGGCCUUCUAAGUCGAACGUGAAAUCCCUGGGCUCAACCCAGGAACUGCGUCCGAUACUGGAAGGCUUGAAUCCGGGAGAGGAAUGCGGAAUUCCAGGUGUAGCGGUGAAAUGCGUAGAUAUCUGGAGGAACACCGGUGGCGAAGGCGGCAUUCUGGACCGAUAUUGACGCUGAGGAGCGAAAGCCAGGGGAGCAAACGGGG
rnacentral:rRNA from 1 species